AGACUACUCCCUCCGUUCGAAAAUACUUGUCAUUGAAAUGGAUGUAUCUAGAUGUAUUUUAGUUCUAGAUACAUCCAUUUGAUGACAAGUAUUUCUAAACGGAGGGAGUACAAG
rnacentral:pre_miRNA from 1 species